UACGGAGGAUCCAAGCGUUAUCCGGAUUUAUUGGGUUUAAAGGGUGCGUAGGCGGCCUGUUAAGUCAGGGGUGAAAGACGGUAGCUCAACUAUCGCAGUGCCCUUGAUACUGAUGGGCUUGAAUGGACUAGAGGUAGGCGGAAGUGUGACAAGUAGCGGUGAAAUGCAUAGAUAUGUCACAGAACACCGAUUGCGAAGGCAGCUUACUAUGGUCCUAUUGACGCUGAGGCACGAAAGCGUGGGGAUCAAACAGG
rnacentral:rRNA from 1 species